AUUGAACGCUGGCGGCAGGCCUAACACAUGCAAGUCGAACGAGUGGCGGACGGGUGAGUAGUGUCUGGGAAACUGCCCGAUGGAGGGGGAUAACAACUGGAAAAGGUCGCAAAUACCGCAUACCAUCGGAUGUGCACAGAGGGGAUAAGCGAGUAGGUGGGGUACCGGCUCACCUAGGCGACGAUCCCUAGCUGGUCUGAGAGUAUGACCAGCCACCCUGGAACUGAGACACGUUCCAGACUCCUACGGGAGGCAGCAUUGGGGAAUAUUGCAUCAUGGGCGCAAGCCUGAUGCAGCCAUGCCGCGUGUAUGAAGAAGGCCUUCGGGUUUGAAAGUACUUUCAGCGAGGAGGCGUUACUCGAAGAAGAAGCACCGGCUAACUCCGUGAGAGCAGCCGCGGUAAUAC
rnacentral:rRNA from 1 species